CAAAUCUCAGUUCAGAAUUGCAGGCUGCAACUCGCCUGCAUGAAGUCGGAAUUGCUAGUAAUCGUAGGUCAGCAUACUACGGUGAAUACGUUCCCGGGCCUUGUACACACCGCCCGUCAAACCAUGAGAGUUGGCAACACCCGAAGUCGGUAGUCUAACCGCAAGGAGGACGCCGCCAAGGUGGGGUUGAUGAUUAGGGUUAAGUCGUAACAAGGUAGC
rnacentral:rRNA from 1 species